rnacentral:lncRNA from 1 species
CGUGGGGAGCUCUCGAUGUUGAUCCGAUGGCUUAGGGGUUUUUCUGGGCGUUGUUUGGGCCUGAUUAAGACUCCUAACCCUAAUCUAACAUGGAUUUAAGCCUUUUUAAGACUGAUAUGGUGAACAGAGGAUGUUGGUGGUGCGGCAUGAUUUUGGUGUCACACAGACGGCUUCAUGUAGACCCAGAAAAAUUGAUAACCCAUGAGAGAGGUGAUGUGGCAC